ACCGAUUUUACAUACGGAUUUCAAAAUAAUUAGUAAAUAAAAAUUAAAAAUAAUAUUUUUACCAGAUCAUCCCUCAACAUUUCUCACUAAACCCUAAACUCACUUACAGAAGUCUCUCGCUCUCGCACUCUCCCACUUCGAACUAAACGCACUCGUUUCACUCAGGUCACCCAAGCCCUUCCCUAACUUUCUCGCUCAGAUUUUCCACAACCUUUCUUAAAUCUCACCUCGAAACUUUCUCGUAGAGUUGCAUAUGUUCAUAAAGAAGAAGUUAUUCUCGCACUCCUCUUCAUUAGCUCUCUACCUCGUACUCCUCAUCCACAUUGCCUCCCCUGGAACUAUAGCCUCCACAACGUGCGUCUCCUCCGCAUUGGCCAUCACCUAAAACCCAAGCCACCACUGCGUGCCUCCUUUACAUUGGCCCUCCCUAGAACCCUAACCUCCAUCAUGUGCUCAUCCACAACACUCAUCUUCUCCGCAUUGGCCAUCACCUGAAAUCCUGAACUCCACCAUGUGUCUCCUCUACAAUGACCCUCCUCAGAACCCUAACAUCGAUCGCGUGCUCCUCCUCUGCAUUGGCCCUCCCUUAGAACCCCAAGCUUUGUUGUGGUGUUUGCGUCCGCAUUUAUUCUCUUUAUCUUCUACUGUUUUCAGAAAUACUUUUGGUUUUCUGAUUUUUGACGUUAUUAGAGAGAAGUUAUUGUGAAAAUUAUCGAGAAAAGAGAUUGUUUAAUAGUCAUGGUUGCUAGUAGUGGGUAAUCCUUAUGGUAAAGCAUCAUUAUUUCCUUUUUUUGUCUCAUUUUG
rnacentral:lncRNA from 1 species